AAUUUCAAAUUUAAGGAUUUUUCAGAAAUCCUUUCUAGAAACAUCAUCCAGAUAUGUUACUGUCAUUUUUCACAACAAAAACGGGUUUUCUUAUUCACAUUGAUAUUUAGAUUGACCAAAUGCAGGGAUGAAAAAAAUCAGUGUCUCCUCUACCAUUAAAAGACAUUUGGUACAUGUAAAGUAUUUUGGUUUUCUGUAUAUAUUGUUGUCCAUUACCAUUCUAAAAUAUAUUUUUAUUUGAGGCUUUGAAAUGUAUUCAUUAUUAUGCAUUGCAGUGGUAACAUCAGUAAUUGCACCCUGUGGGAAGAAUUGGCAUCCAAAUUCAUUUCUAUUUACUGCUAGAAAACGGAUUCUAAAGUCUAGACCAAUCAUUAUCAUAAUUAAACAUGCUAGGAUCAAAGAGGCACAAGGAAUUAUCCACUAACAAUCUCAAAUGCAUGGAAUGGUGCCAAGUUGUUUAUCAAUGAAGACAUGGUAGAAAUUCAAAACUUCAGAAAAAAGGUCACUUUCAUAAAAUUCUUAUUUACAUUUUAAUUAAAUGCUUUUACUUAUACAUGACAUAGAAAGGGAAUUAUUUCAAGCUUACCUUUUGAUGAUACUUAUGGAACACCAAGUCAGAUGGGAACAACACCAACUCAAAUGCUCAGCCAAGGCGCAGGCUGCUCCCAGUUUUCAGCUCACGACCGAUUCAUGUAUCUUGGUCAACUCACGAGCCUUUCAUAAAUAAAGAUUCAACAGGACACUACUUGUGUGAGAUAGUUGCAACAACUUCAAAAGUCAUUGUUUCAAAAAAUGGAUGGAACUUUAAUGGAUGCAGUCAGUGUCCUAAAAAAGCAGGUGACAAACCACCUCACAAAUGUAAAGAUGGCCAUAACAAAGGUGUCCUGUUCUAAGAUAUAAGUUGGAUGUUGAAGUAUAUCAUGAGAAAUAGAAGACAUUAUUUGCAUUUUGGGACCAUGAUUGUACUACGCUAUAAGGCACUACAGCUGUGGAACUUCGAAACAAACUGAUUGAAGAGGGUGGAUAUGAUCCACUGGAAUAUCCUAAAAUUCUUGAUGAAAUGGUGGGACGUACAUUAACAUUCAUAUUUAACGUACAGCCAAAAUUGAAGCAGUCAUCUAUCCUGAACUACAAGGAUGAUCUGCCUUUGGUCAACAAAAUCAAAGAACAAUUUUCAGCUGAAAAGAUUUGUAACAAUUCAAUUGCUUUUUAAGAAUGCCACAUCUUUGAACAAGUCCAUAACUGACAACUUGGAAAAUUCGAUUUUCCCAAGUCAGAACAUGAUCUUGAUCAAAUUGUUUCAAUAACUCCAGCGAAGAGUAUUGCAUGUGAUCAACAAUGUCAUGAUAUACUGAGUCAAGAAUUAGCUACUGCACAGCUUUCAUCAACAUGAAAUAUUUACGAGAAACUUGUCACUUGAAACUUAGCUUAGAUGGUAGAGUUUGUACAGAUUGGGAUAUGGCGGGAGAUUAUGACUCUCACAUACCUACUUCGCUUCUUUUUAUUUUAUAUGUAUAGAUCUGGUAGUCAGAAUUGCAAAAGUGUCUUGCUCUAGCUACCACAAAGGCAAAUUUUAUUGUUGCAAUUAAAACUUGCAAGGAGUUGUUAUGGAUGAAGAGUGUUCUUCAUGAACUUAUUCUAAUUCAGAAAUGACAUGUAUUAUGACAACCAAAGUACUAUGCACCUUAGUAAGACUUUUAUAGCAUAUUGAUUUCAGAGUU